rnacentral:tRNA from 1 species
GGGGUUGUGGCUCAGUGAUAGAGCGCUUGCCUAGCAUGUGUGAGGCACUGGGUUCAAUUCUCAGCACCA